GAUGAAGAACGCAGCGAAAUGCGAUAAGUAAUGUGAAUUGCAGAAUUCAGUGAAUCAUCGAAUCUUUGAACGCACAUUGCGCCCCUUGGUAUUCCGAGGGGCAUGCCUGUUCGAGCGUGAUAUUAACCACUCCCGCUUGCGGGGUCUUGGGCUUCGCCUCCGGGCGGGCCUUAAAAUCAGUGGCGGUGCCGUCGGGCUCUACGCGUAGUAAAUUUUCUCGCGAUAGGGUCCCGGUGGAUGCUUGCCAACAACCCCCAACUUCUUAAGGUUGACCUCGGAUCAGGUAGGGAUACCCGCUGAACUUAAGCAUAUCAAUAAGCGGAGGA
rnacentral:misc_RNA from 1 species